rnacentral:lncRNA from 1 species
GGAAGGAAGGAAGGAAGGAAGGAAGGAAAAAGGAAGGAAAGGAAGGAAGGAUGGAAAGGAAGAAUGGAGGGAAGGGAGGAUGGAAGGUGGGAGGAAGGAAAGAAGGAAGGAAGGAAUGGAGGGAGGGAAGGAAGGAAAGAAGGGAAGGGAGGGAGGGAGGAAGGGAGGGAAGAAAGGAAGGAGGGGGGAGGGAGGGAGGGAAGGAGGGUGGGAGGAAGGAAAAAAAGAAGGAGAGAAGGAAAUAUUGGCCAGACCUUCCUUCCUUCUGAAUUGGCUCCUUUAAUGCUUCUGCCAAUCUGUUUUCUUACAUCAAUUCAUGAAAUUCUAUAAGAGAAACUACUGGCUAAAAACAGACUAUGGAUUCUUGGUAAUUCUCAAAAAUAGAUCCAGAAAGGAGGAUUGAAACUUAAUAUUUACUUAAGUGGGGUAUCAUCAAGCUAUCAGAAGAUAGGACUAAAUUGAAAUUUUGUGUGUGAGUUACACAUGGGUUAGUGAGAACUAGGGCUUUUCAGAUUUGAAAUGACAUACGAUGAUUACGAGAGAGGUAGACACAAGCUGCUGUGAGCAUGUUGGGAAGGUGGGAUCCCACCCAGGGGGUGAGGGAAGCUGGGAUACAUGAGCUUUUAAAAGACGCUGGCAUUUGGAUGGGCUUUGAAGACUGCGCGGUGGGUUGUGUUGGGAAGAAAGAAGAGAAAGUCAAGGCAGCGGAGGAAACCAUGGGGAGAGACCCAGAGAUAUGACAGGGCUGUUGACCCAGGCAGCCAGGGAACGUUUUGGAAGAGUGAGAAAGGAGGUAUAAACCAGAAGCUGAAGGAGACUGAGCUACAGAGAUAAAUUCUUUUCCAUGUCUUCCCCACAAGGAAGAAUUAGAGAAAGAGGAGGGCAGGACCUGAGCAAGUUUAGGGGGGAAACGUGAUGGGGGAAACUGCACGGGUUUGGGGGUCCAAAGGAGAGAUCCUUCAAUACCAGUUAUUCCAUGGUCUAACUUUGUCACAUUAUUUAACCUCUCUGAGCCUCAGUUACAUCAUCUGAAAAAAAUUAAUAUAAUACCUGCCUUAAUAUUAAAGUCUGCAAUAAGAGCAAAAGCAAAACCAUAUGCAAAAUCCCAGCUCACAGUGAGAUUUUGGAAAAACGGGCUUUUAAAAAUGUCCAUUUUCCAGGGUACGUGGGUGACUCAGUUGGUUAAGUGUCCCACUCUUGAUCUCAUAGCUCAUGGGGUCAAGCCCUGUGUCAGACUCUGCGCUGACUUGGGAUUCUCUCUCUCCCUGUCUCUCUGCUCCUCCCCUGCUUGCGCUCUUUCUCUCUCUCAAAAUAAACAUUUUUUUUUUAAGUUCAUUUUCCUUUCCUUGUGAGUUUCAUUUCACUUCCUUUAAUUAUCCCUGAUCUCUUGUCAACACCACCGGCCUCACGCCCCAUUCCCGGGAGGGACCAGUGUUAGCUUUAGUCAUAAGGUCUACGGAUGACUCCCGUUUUGCCAUUGUCUGAUCCAAGCCAUCAUCCCAGAGCUCCGCAUGUCUACAUGUUCCUAUUCCUCAGAUGAGAGCAUUAUCAAAAGGUUUCAGUUCCCUGUUUGCAAUUGCUGGGUUGAGUACCAGGUUCUUUUCACCUCCUGGCCAGCCCACAUCCUCCCUAACUCCCACCACAACCAUCCCUACAGACUUCCACGCCAGCAGAUGGGAAAAGGAAUGUGUGACGUUCCCUGGGAGCCUGGCUAUUGUUUGGGGGAACUGGAAGUCACUGUGCUCAGAGUGUCCAUCCUCCCUCCUCGCCGCACACCCUGCUUCCUGUCAAUCAUCCUGGAACACCCAGUGCCGACCGACAAUUUUGUGCACAGGAUGUUUGUUUGCAGGCACUGCCUUCCAAGUCUCAAAGCUCGAGACUUCCGCUGCCAAUCCAAACACCAGAAUGGGAAAGGGGGGAAAACCCUGGGGCAGUUCUUUUAAUGCCUAAUACAGUCUAUUUAUAUUCAAAAAUAGCAACAGGUUAUCUUAGCUUGCAGAAACUGAAGAGGCUAGGAAGCCUGAUCCUUAAAAUCCCGAGCCCCUGGAAUUUGAAAUAUAGGUUUCCGCGUGUGGACACUAAAAAGCAUGUCCUUAAAGCACCUUUGGCAUAUUCCGUGGUCAGCUUCCAUAAAUGAUCAACCCCUGUUUUUAUGGGCACCGCUUAGAGGGUAAAUGCCUUGCUACUAAGCCACAAAGCAAAAGAAUUCACAAGACAUAUGUGCGUUGAAAUUCAAGGUGUUCAAUCAAAGCUGUGGGAUAAAUUCAAUAGCCUGAGGUCACUGCGUAAAUUUCUGCAGUCCUUCCAGAGUUUGUAGAUGUUCUAAGAAAUGUUAUGUUUGAGACUCUAAUGAUUACAUAUGAAGCAAUUAAGCUUGAAAAAUGACUUUACAACGCUAUGAUAUAUGUUCUUCGGGGAGCAGGGAAUAGUUUUCUUGCGUGCUAAUAAUGAAAAGAUCACCCAAUUGUCUUCCUGACUCACUGGUAGUUUACUUGAGAGCCUUGACAUGUCUAUUCCUACAGCUUCCAUAUAAUUACUAAAUAGGAAUUUGAACCUCUGUGCAUUUAAUAGCUACCACUUACAAUCUUUAUAUCUCUGGGGAAUUGACCUAAUCUCUCUGAAGUUAUUUUUGCCUGUAAGAAUGGAUCAUUAUUCAUUCAAAAUUCCAUUGGAUGGUAGUGAAGCUGAAAUAAAACCAAGUGUGAAAGGUGCCUGGAGCGUAAUAGGUGCUCAAUAAAUGGUAACCUGUAAGAUCGAAAAGCAAGGGGAAUUUGAGAGGCAUUCCCAAGAACGUCUUUAAAAAUGGCUCCAACUAUCACAUUCACCCUCUCUACUAAAUUUUAAGGAUGACCUGGCAAUAAUCUUGGUACAUGAAAGAGAGUCCCAGAGGUCUUCAAUAGGAACGGUUUUGAGACAAGACAGAUAAAGGUGAUCCAAAAGUGCAUUACCUCAAGCAUCCUAGGUUCCAGAAUUGUUUUGCCAAAUGGGUGACAAGUUCAUGAGCAGGAUCGAGAGCAAAAAGCAGUAUGCCCCAGUUUCUCUCCAGACCUUUAUUCACACCCACCUGACACCACCAAAGCACGACUUUCACUGUCCCUGAAGGAAACCAGCUUGUGCUGGGCAUACCGGAUGGGUCCUGAGUUACACAGCUGGGGAGGUUUAAGGUAUGCCACGUGUUAGUACCACUUGUUCAAGUUCUGGCCAGAUUUCCAUACAAUACUCAGCUGCUCUAAUAGAAAGUGAAUUCCCAGGUUCUUACAAGGGCAUGUGUAGUCUGAGAGUUUUCAAUACACCAAAUGUGGGUUUGGGGAAAGCUUACCAGACCAACUCAUUAAGAGCUCAAAAUUAGUGGACUACAUACAAGAGAAGAAUCUAUAAUGUUUUAAUGAUUAAAAUAAUGCUGAUUAAAAUUAAUCUCAUCAUUUUGGGGCACCUGGGUGGUUCACUCGGUUAAGUAUCUGUCUCUUGAUUUUAGCUCUAGUCAUGAUCUCACAGGUUGUGAGUUUGAGUCCCGAGUCUGGCAGUAUGCUAACAGCGAGGAGCCUGCUUGGGAUUCUUUCUCUCCCUCUCUCCACUCCUCACUUGCUUAUACACUCUCUCUCUCUCUCAAAAUAAAUAAACUAUAAAAAAAGCACUUUAAAAACAUGAAAUUAAUUAUUUUUAUCACCAUAUAUAUACAUAUAUAUGUAUAUAUAUACAUGUGUAUACAUAUAUACAUACAUAUACAUAUAUGUGUAUGUAUGUAUACAUAUAUGUAUGCAUGUAUAUAUACAUAUAUGUAUAUACAUGUAUAUAUAUACACAUAUAUUGUAUACACAUGUAUACAUGCGUAUAUAUACCUAUAUAUUGUAUACAAUAUAUAGGUAUAUAUAUUGAACCGGCAAAGAUUUAAAAAAUAACCACCAACCACCAGUGUACCAAAGAAUAUAAGGAUGAGAUGGACAGAAAUUCCACCAGCAGCAGUGGUAAUAAAGUACAGUGUAGACUUUCUAAACCAAUGUGGAAAUACGUAGCAAGAUUAUUAAAAUAAGCUUAUAAUUUUUGACCUUAAAGCCACCUAAUGGAAUAUCUGUCCUAACAAAGAAAACAAAUAUGGCCAGAAUUCCAUAUGGAGUUAGUUAUCACACUGUUAUUUAUACGGACGAUUCCAUCACAAAUGGAACUGCCCUAAAUGAUCUAUAACAAGGAAAUGGUUACAUAUACCAAGAUAUUGCCAUAGAUUAGGAAGCCAUUAGAAGUCAUGUUUUCAAAGAAUAGGUAGACAUGGAAAAAUAAGAACAAUGUAAGAUAACUAGGAAGGAAACCCAAGUCCGAUCGUACACUGUCUUGAAUGCACCCUUCUGUAUUUUCCACAUUUUCUUCAGUGACUAUAGCUUCCUUUUAUAUUUAGAAAAGGAACAAUUAACAUUAAUACCAACCAAACAACCUCAGCUGAAAUUCACUAAUAGGCUAUUUAAAUAACCUGUAGCAAUAUCACUACUGAUAGUAUUUUUGCAAGCAAAUCACACUGUCCUUUAAAUUGCAGCUAAUUAAAAUAUCAAGCUAGAGGCCAAAAAGAUCUUGAUAUGAACGGAAAAAAAUGAUUGUCUUUUUAAAUUUUUUUGGUCCAUAUUGCUUUAUCUAAGCAAACUGAAAAGUGCCCAAAAAGCCAUAUGGGAGAUGUACUUCUUCACAGCUGCAAGAGAAACAUUUGCAGAACAGAAAACACCAGAAAUCACAAUAUAUUCUUAGUCAUAGUAGAAUGGAAAGCACAUGAAAUAUUUAAAA